ACUGUAGCCUUUCUGAGUAGA
rnacentral:miRNA from 2 species